CUGAACCAGCCAAGUAGCGUGAAGGAUGACUGCCCUAUGGGUUGUAAACUUCUUUUAUACGGGAAUAAAGUGAGGCACGUGUGCCUUUUUGUAUGUACCGUAUGAAUAAGGAUCGGCUAACUCCGUGCCAGCGGCCGCGGUAAUACGGAGGAUCCGAGCGUUAUCCGGAUUUAUUGGGUUUAAAGGGAGCGUAGAUGGGUUGUUAAGUCAGUUGUGAAAGUUUGCGG
rnacentral:rRNA from 1 species